UCUUCUUGGGACUAAAGCCUGCCAUCCCUCGCGUCUGGCUUCGGUCUCAAAGGAGAGUAGCUGAGGGCCAACCCACCUACCCACCUACCCACCUAGUCCCCAUUCCAAAGUCCCAGCACAGGUGCCAUGAAAACCAACUUGUUUGGAGAAAAACAGAAACCAGAGUUAUAAAUUCAUACUCUGGGUCUGCUAGGAGAACCCCUCUCUCCAAAAUGCUGUCCUCACUACGCACCUAAAACAUGCGACAAAAAGCCCUGAACACCUGGAAUUGAACGUCUACAAACACAUUGUUUUGUUCAGUGUAAAUCAAUUUGCUGGCAGAAGUCUCAGCUCCCAUCCACCGUCCUGGAAGCACAAGGAAUGCCACGGGCCAGGAGCUGUUUCUCUGCUGAUUGGCCCCUCCAGGUGCCCUGGAAGCAACAGGAGGCUCUGCUGCCUCACCACGCAGGGCCGUCAUCCACAAAACAGGGAAAUCGUCCAUUAACCAGUCCAGUGAGAACUGCUCCAGUAACUAAUGAAACUGUGAAGUGCUGCUACACAAAGAUGAGGAAUGUUAUCGACAACCACAAAAGCGGCAGAAGAUUAGCACUUGGCUCCGUGUGGUGUCCUGGGGUGUGCUAGCUGAGUUGCAGGGAACUAAGUCCUGGCAUUCACCACACCAGAGUCAACAUGCAACUGUUGCAGGACAGAGACACACUUCCUGUUGGCUGAAAAGCCACGGUGUCGGUAAAUCCUCCUGAAGAUCCAGAACAGAAGUGUACUUGUAAACUUCUGAGCGACCUAAAAUAUUUGUUCAGGAAAAAGUCUUCCUAAUCAAAUUAGUUAUGAUGUCCCCUGUUAUCUAUUUUUCCAUAACCUUAAUAUGCCCUUUGGUAGCAACCUGCAAAAGUAACCUUUUCUUGCAGGUGGCCUAUUCAUAUGCUGCCUGUAUGAACGGUCUAACUGCUGGAUUUGUAUCCAGCUGCCUAUCCCUAGAGUCUCUAACUUGCCCUGGUAGAUAUCUCCCUUACAGCAGACAGACUAAAUAGCUCAAGUCAUUAAUAAUGAAGACGCAAGAAAAAUACAGUGCGUUAAGCACCGAUAACAUCACCAGAAACAAUCUUGUCAUUGGUUAGUAAAUUUAACCCAGCAAGGACAUCAUCUUGUUUUCUCUGCCAAUAUCACUAGUGAAGUGGGGCUAUGUUAUUCCUAUUAAAUUUUAAAAAGGGGGAAAAAAACUUUACUGAAAGUAUAAAAAUUGAACAUGUUCAAUUCUAGGAUUAAAUAGUUUUAACUUACCCAGGAUAUAGGAGACUGAGCCAGAAGGCUCCACUUUAUCAGGGAUGCUACACAUCCCUCCCUUGAUAUGCAAAAUGGGACAGUUACCCUCUAAAACCUGUCAACAAACCAUCUCUUCAUUAGCCAGUAAUUAACAUAGAACUGGAAUCUGAGACCUAAAAUACAGUAAGUAUGGAAUGGAUCGAAUGGAACCCAAUAAAUCUGAUAAUCAUGCAAUAUUUGUCCCAGUUUUACGAAUCAGCUACGAAGACCUACUCUUUCCCAAAAAGCAACAGUAUCCCCUUAAAACUGAAAAUAUAAUAAGUAUCCAACCCCUUAUCCAAAAGUUUCUGAAAACUGGCCUCCUAGUUCCUUGCCAGUCUCCUGUAAUACCCCUGUCCUGCCUGUAAAAGAGCCAAAU